CUACGGGACGCAGCAGUGAGGAAUAUUGGUCAAUGGCCGGAAGGCUGAACCAGCCAAGCCGCGUGAAGGACGAAGGUGCCAAGCAUUGUAAACUUCUUUUGUCAAGGGACAAAAUCAGGCUCGAGAGCCUGACCGAGGGUACUUGAAGAAAAAGCAUCGGCUAGCUCCGUGCCAGCAGCCGCGGUAAUACGGAGGAUGCGAGCGUUAUCCGGAUUUAUUGGGUUUAAAGGGUGCGUAGGCGGACUGUUAAGUCAGCGGUAAAAGCCCGGGGCUCAACCCCGGCGAGCCGUUGAAACUGGCUGUCU
rnacentral:rRNA from 1 species